rnacentral:tRNA from 1 species
GGUUAUGGCUCAGUGGUAGAGUGCUUGUCUCACAUGAAUGCAGCCCUGGGUUCAAUCCUCAGCACCA